AUUUCAGGUCUGGCCUGCCCGCUGAUUUUUAAAUGGCCGCGGUAUAUUGACCGUGCAAAGGUAGCAUAGUAACUAGUUUUUUAAUUGGGAGCUUGAAUGAAAGGUUUGAUGAAAGAGUAGCUGUCUCUGGAAAAAUUAAAUAGAAUUUUAUUUCUAAGUGAAAAAGCUUAGAUGACUAUAGAAGACGAGAAGACCCUAUAGAGUUUUAUAAAUUAAAAAUUUCUGAGGGUGAGGAAAGGUUAAUUAGGGGUUUGAAAUUUAUUUUAUUGGGGUGAUAGGAAAAUUUGAUAAACUUUUCUUUAUUUGGAAUACUAUUAAGUAAACAGAUGAUCCUGUAGUUUAGAUUAAAAGAUUAAAUUACCUUAGGGAUAACAGCGUAAUUUUUUCUAGAGUUCUUAUCGAAGAAAAAGUUUACGACCUCGAUGUUGGAUUAAAAUUUAUUGUUGGUGUAGAAGCUAAACAAAAUUAGGUCUGUUCGACCUUUAAAAUUUUACAUGAUCUGAGUUUAAACCGGCGUGAGCCAGGUCG
rnacentral:rRNA from 1 species